GAUGAACGCUGGCGGCUUGCCUAUUCAUUCAAAUUCAACCGACGGACGAGGAGCCUUGCUUCUCUAUUUUUGGCGCCGACCGGUGAGUUACACGUUGAUUACCCUCCCUUUAGACUUGGGUUACCUUCGGAAACCCUUGCUUAUUCCCGGUUAUUUUUUUAACCCCAUUGUUUCAAAGUUAAAGACCGUUCUUCCUUUACCUAUUGAUUGAUCCGCGAUGCAUUAGCUAGUUGGUAAGGUAACGGCCUACCAAGGCAACGAUGCAUAGCCGACCUGAGAGGGUGAUCGGACACACUGGAACUGAGACACGGUCCAGACUCCUACGGGAGGCAGCAGUAGGGAAUCUUCCGCAAUGGGCGAAAGCCUGACGGAGCAACGCCGCGUGAGUGAUGAAGGUCUUCGGAUCGUAAAACUCUGUUAUUAGGGAAGAACAUAUGUGUAAGUAACUGUGCACAUCUUGACGGUACCCAAUCAGAAAGCCACGGCUAACUACGUG
rnacentral:rRNA from 1 species